CUCCAGAUAUUGCUGAAAUGCAACUCUUGUUAGCCUCAGCCACCACGGCCAAUGCAAGGGAUUGUGGGAAUUGUAGUUCAGCAAUGUCUGGAG